rnacentral:rRNA from 1 species
GUGGGGAAUAUUCCGCAAUGGACGAAAGUCUGACGGAGCAACGCCGCGUGAGUGAUGAAGGUUUUCGGACUGUAAAGCUCUGUUGUUUGGGACGAAAGUGCCUGUUGCGAACAGUUACGGGUAUUGACGGUACUAAACGAGGAAGCCACGGCUAACUACGUGCCAGCAGCCGCGGUAAUACGUAGGUGGCAAGCGUUGUCCGGAAUUAUUGGGCGUAAAGAGCAUGUAGGCGGGAAUCUAAGUCUGUUGUUAAAAUGCGGGGCUCAACCCCGUAGUGCGAUGGAAACUGGGUUUCUUGAGUGCGGGAGAGGAAAGGGGAAUUCCCAGUGUAGCGGUGAAAUGCGUAGAUAUUGGGAGGAACACCAGUGGCGAAGGCGCCUUUCUGGACUGUGUCUGACGCUGAGAUGCGAAAGCCAGGGUAGCGAACGGGAUUAGAUACCCCGGUAGUCC